rnacentral:rRNA from 1 species
GAGACUGGGAUAACACCUGGAAACAGAUGCUAAUACCGGAUAACAACACUAGACGCAUGUCUAGAGUUUAAAAGAUGGUUCUGCUAUCACUCUUGGAUGGACCUGCGGUGCAUUAGCUAGUUGGUAAGGUAACGGCUUACCAAGGCAAUGAUGCAUAGCCGAGUUGAGAGACUGAUCGGCCACAUUGGGACUGAGACACGGCCCAAACUCCUACGGGAGGCAGCAGUAGGGAAUCUUCCACAAUGGACGCAAGUCUGAUGGAGCAACGCCGCGUGAGUGAAGAAGGGUUUCGGCUCGUAAAGCUCUGUUGGUAGUGAAGAAAGAUAGAGGUAGUAGCUGGCCUUUAUUUGACGGUAAUUACCUAGAAAGUCACGGCUAACUACGUGCCAGCAGCCGCGGUAAUACGUAGGUGGCAAGCGUUGUCCGGAUUUAUUGGGCGUAAAGCGAGUGCAGGCGGUUCAAUAAGUCUGAUGUGAAAGCCUUCGGCUCAACCGGAGAAUUGCAUCAGAAACUGUUGAACUUGAGUGCAGAAGAGGAGAGUGGAACUCCAUGUGUAGCGGUGGAAUGCGUAGAUAUAUGGAAGAACACCAGUGGCGAAGGCGGCUCUCUGGUCUGCAACUGACGCUGAGGCUCGAAAGCAUGGGUAGCGAACAGGAUUAGAUACCCUGGUAGUCCAUGCCGUAAACGAUGAGUGCUAAGUGUUGGGAGGUUUCCGCCUCUCAGUGCUGCAG